AGUUUGGUUAUGUGCAGUCACAAAGAGCGGCUCCACCCUUCCAGCAAUAAGAAAUGUGAGAGUGUUCCGUGAAAUGUCUUGUCUUCGUGCUUUGACCAUCAGGGCCACCGUACAGUGCACAAUGUGACUUUUGAGUGUUGAAACAGUUGAGCCGACUCUAACCUGCCAUCUCCCACCAACAAAGUCCAUGUUUGAUUAAUGCAACGUGCAAACAGCAAGAGGGUGAAACCAGGUGACCCCAGGGCUGGACGACACAGUCAAGAGGGACCAGAGAGGAGAAGGCAGCCCACAUGGGAAUCGAACUGGACUCCUGCUACUCCAGUUCUGCCAAAGCGUAAUCACAGCUACUCACUGACGAUGAUGUCGAUGGCGAGAGGAGGCUUCCCCCAGCAGCUCGGGUCAAUGGUUCGGUUCGUUCCAUUAUUCAUCGCUGGAGGAUGUCGACGGAUUUCUCUCCACAAACAACAAGCGCAACUUGUGCCGCUGGUCUCUCUCGUAUCCACGGACGCAGCGUGCGUAAAGUUGGCGGCGCGGACUCUCCUCGUCGCUCCAAGUGUCCAAA